UCUACUGGAAAGCUUGUAGAGCCUACGAUGAGCUUACGGAUACAGCAGAGCAUAUGGUAAUGCAGAUGAGCAGUCGAGGUCCAGGCUCCUGGGAUGAGCAUGUCUGUAGUCCUACCUCCGUGAAAUCAAGUGACUCACACCCGGCAUGACUCCAGUCCUGGGAGCCAUCUGCUUCUGUGCUGAGGAAAACUGUGUUGGCUGCUUGGAGCUAGCUCAUAGCUGGAGUAAAGCACAACCGUGAGCUCAGAUGUGCAACCAAGGCAAUAGUUGCUCUGAGAAACUAUGUUCACAAUAUCACCAGACCUGCUUUGGGGUUGUAGUUUAAGGUGGCAGUUACUCGUGGCAGUAUCCUAGGUGCAGGGGAACUCAGGAAGACAAACAUGUUCCCACGAAAUUCAUAUUUCCCAGCACUUCUGCCAAGUGAUUAAGAGCAGAGGAAGGUUGGAAGCCACCUCAGCUUGGCCUGUUUCUCCAAUAGGCUGCCAUCCUGCUCAGCCAAGGAGCAACAUGACAGUAAAAACAUCUCAAAUCUGUACUGCUACGCUCACAUAGACAAUUUGCAACUCAAAAAAUAGUUGCUUUGAUGCUUACCUUUCAAAGAAACAUCUGUCUUUGAAAAAUGAUGUACUGUAAAUUUCCUAUCAAGUGAAAAAAGCUGGCACGAGCUGUCUGAAGGCUUUCACUGCCUGUGAGGAUGAUCUGUUAACUCAGUUUCUAAGGAGAACAUCUAAGACUGUCAUGGUUUUGAUCUUCCACUGUUAUUUCUCUGACAUCUGUUUAGUCCUACUACAACAUCACUCUCCUAGUAUUUUUUACCUUGAUGUUUAAUUCCCAUGCAAUUUGUGGACCUUUUUUGCCUGACACUUAAUGCCAGUGUUUAUCCAGCCCAACACAGGUUAGGCCAAUGUACCAGAUCUUCUGUUGUCUGUCAACUUUCAUUUGAGGACCUAAUUUCCCUCACAGUGUGUGUAAGAGGAUGAAAGGAUCCUUAGGUCAUUUCCAGAAGUGUGCAUGGCCUUGUACCAGCAAGUGGCUGGUGAGGCUGGUACAUGGCAAUGUGACUGAAUAAAGCUGUUUGGAGAAGGGCCAUUGGGAUGUGGAUUUUUUCAUGUGCUUAUGUCAAUGGUAGCAACUGCCCAAUGUUGAUAAAGGACAGAAAAUGGCAUUUUCAAAGUAGAAUGGUGGUGUGCCUAUAAAUCCUAUGGAAUAAUGGGAUUUGUAUGGGAGAAGUGUCUAAUCCCUGUCAUAACAAACAGAUUUAUGAAUGACAGAUGUGGAUAAAUAAUGCAUGCUUCCAAUUCAAGAUCAAGGACUAAAUGAGAGCAAGAAAAUACAGAAGCAGACACAGCUCUGGCUGAAUUUUAAGCAUCACUUAAAAUCUUAGAGU